rnacentral:rRNA from 1 species
ACGGAAGGCAGCAGUGAGGAAUAUUGGUCAAUGGACGGAAGUCUGAACCAGCCAUGCCGCGUGCAGGAAGACGGCCCUAUGGGUUGUAAACUGCUUUUGUGGUGGAGCAAUAAGGCGUACGUGUACGCCGAUGAGAGUACAUCACGAAUAAGCAUCGGCUAACUCCGUGCCAGCAGCCGCGGUAAUACGGAGGAUGCAAGCGUUAUCCGGAUUUAUUGGGUUUAAAGGGUGCGUAGGCUGUGCGUCAAGUCAGAGGUGAAAGCCCGGGGCUCAACUCCGGAACUGCCUUUGAUACUGACGUGCUGGAAUACGGAUGCCGUGGGAGGAAUGAGUAGUGUAGCGGUGAAAUGCAUAGAUAUUACUCAGAACACCGAUUGCGAAGGCAUCUCACGAAGCCGUUAUUGACGCUGAGGCACGAAAGCGUGGGGAUCAAACAGGAUUAGAUACCCUGGUA